rnacentral:rRNA from 1 species
AUGGAUGGAUCAUCGCCCCUCGCCACGGGCGUUCAGCUGGGAGAAGACCUGGCUAUCGGCGAGGUCGGUCAUGCUCAGGCCCGUCUCGUCCGCGUCGUCCAUCAUCAGCAGGCUGGUGGACGAUGGCACCCACCGCGGCACGACCACGUCGGCGGGGAGCUGCGUGGCGACGGCGCCGCUGUCCUCGAACGCGUCCCUGUUGACGUGCGUCUCCUGCAGCUGCAGGCAGUACUCGAGGUUCCACAGCACGUCGCCCAUGGACGGCCGGUCCGCGCCGUAGUCGGCCAGGCACCUCUCGGCCGUCUCGGCGAACUUGCGCAGCGAGUUGUCGUUCACCUCGCCGGCGAUCCUGGCGUCGGCGAUCUUGUCGAGCUUCCCCUCCCCGUGCAUCCUGACGGCCCACUCGGCGAUGUUGAUCUGGUCGCGGUCCAGGCUCUGGUCGAUGACCGGGCGCGCGCAGAGCACCUCGAAGAGCACCACGCCGAAGGAGUAGACGUCGGAGCGGUCCGUGAGCUGCUGCGUCUUGAAGUAUUCGGGGUCGAGGUACCCGAAGCUGCCCUUGACGGCCGUGCUGACGUGCGUCUCCCCCAGCGACGGCCCGAUGCGCGAGAGACCGAAGUCGGCCACCUUGGCGAUGAUCGCGCCGCCGCCGGUGCUGCCGCCGCCGUCGGUGCCGAGGAGGAUGUUGGUGGACUUGACGUCGCGGUGGAUGAUGUUCUCGGAGUAGCCGCUGUGCAGGUAGUGCAGGCCCCUGGCGGCGCCGAUGCAGAUCUCGAGCCGCUGCUUCCACGAGAGCGGCGGCUCGUCGUCGGAGCCGCCGUACAGGUGGCCCCGCAGCGUGCCCUUCUCCAUGUACUCGUACACCAGAAUCAUCUCCGCCUGCUCGUUGCAGUAGCCGAUGAGCGAGACGAGGUGCCGGUGCCGGAUGCCGGACAGCACCACGAUCUCCGUGUGGAACUCCGGCAGGCCCUGCUUGGAGGCGCGCAUGGCGCGCUUCACAGCCACGGGCGUGCCGUCCGCGAGCGCGCCCUUGUACACGUUGCCGAACCCGCCGACGCCGAUGAGGUUGCGGUCGUGGAAGUUGUCCGUGGCGGCCUUGAGCUCCGCCAGCGAGAUGUGCAGCUUGGUGCUCACCCUCUGCAUCCUGGCGGUGGUGCCCUCGCUGGACCGGUUCGCCGACUCGUCGGCCCAGCCGGAGAUGCCUUCCUGCGUGUACGGUGA